UGAUGAUAUUUCUUAUUUAAAUAACGUGUGUUUCGUAUGAUGCAGUUCUUCCCUGGUCAAAAUUCAAUUAUGACGUCAAAUUAUUGAAUUUUCUAUUGUAACGUAACGAAAAAGGCAACACUGUACCUGAUGAAGUACCACACAAGGUACACAUCCUUUAGCAGGUCAUUGGAAACAGCAAAACAAAGUACCGAACUCCAAGGCAAACUUAAAAAGGGAAAGUACCGAACUCCAAGGCAAA
rnacentral:lncRNA from 1 species